UCUGCGUUUCGCGCAGCGGUCUCGCUAGAGAGUUUCAACUAGCGACGGGGGUUGCGCUCGUUGCGGGACUUAACCCAACAUCUCACGACACGAGCUGACGACAGCCAUGCACCACCUGCACACAGGCCACAAGGGAAACCACAUCUCUGUGAUCGUCCUGUGCAUGUCAAACCCAGGUAAGGUUCUUCGCGUUGCAUCGAAUUAAUCCACAUGCUCCGCCGCUUGUGCGGGCCCCCGUCAAUUUCUUUGAGUUUUAACCUUGCGGCCGUAGUCCCCAGGCGGUGAACUUAAUGCGUUAGCUGCGGCACUGAUCGGGUCAAUCCGACCAACACCUAGUUCACAACGUUUAGGGCGUGGACUAC
rnacentral:misc_RNA from 1 species